CCACAAGAUGCCACGAAUCUCUAAAUCGUUUUCUGAGUGAGUCGUGGCUUGUUCGGUGGCUUGUGUAUGGAUGAUGGGGGCCCUAGGGGGGUUUGAGUGAAUGGGCCUUUGUUUGCGAGAGGUUUGGGUACAAAGUUGGGUUUGUUCAGCGAUACAUAAUGUAUACGUUAAACGUAACGUUUUUCGAUGUCUGUCGGCGUGGCGGAGUUGGUUGGGGAGUUUGUUUCGCGGGUGUGAUGAGGUCGCGGGUUCGCGUCUCGUUGUUCCAUUUUUUUUUUUUUUUUUGGAAUAUUUUGUUUUAGUCGUUUUGGGGCGUGUAAUUAAUACUUUUUUCUGCA
rnacentral:lncRNA from 1 species